rnacentral:misc_RNA from 1 species
UACGAAGGGGGCUAGCGUUGUUCGGAAUUACUGGGCGUAAAGGGCGCGUAGGCGGUGGUUCAAGUCAGGCGUGAAAGCCCCGGGCUCAACCUGGGAACUGCGCUUGAGACUGGAUCGCUCGAGUUCGGGAGAGGAUGGUGGAAUUCCCAGUGUAGAGGUGAAAUUCGUAGAUAUUGGGAAGAACACCGAUGGCGAAGGCAGCCAUCUGGACCGACACUGACGCUGAGGCGCGACAGCGUGGGGAGCAAACAGG